rnacentral:rRNA from 1 species
GACGAACGCUGGCGGCGUGCUUAACACAUGCAAGUCGAACGGAAAGGCCCUGCUUUUGUGGGGUGCUCGAGUGGCGAACGGGUGAGUAACACGUGAGUAACCUGCCCUUGACUUUGGGAUAACUUCAGGAAACUGGGGCUAAUACCGGAUAGGAGCUCCUGCUGCAUGGUGGGGGUUGGAAAGUUUCGGCGGUUGGGGAUGGACUCGCGGCUUAUCAGCUUGUUGGUGGGGUAGUGGCUUACCAAGGCUUUGACGGGUAGCCGGCCUGAGAGGGUGACCGGCCACCUUGGGACUGAGGGUCGGCCCAGACCCCUACCGGGGGCAGCCGGGGGGAAUAUUGCACAAUGGGCGGAAGCCUGAUGCAGCAACGCCGCGUGCGGGAUGACGGCCUUCGGGUUGUAAACCGCUUUCGCCUGUGACGAAGCGUGAGUGACGGUAAUGGGUAAAGAAGCACCGGCUAACUACGUG